ACCUGCCCUUAACUCUGGGAUAAGCCUGGGAAACUGGGUCUAAUACCGGAUAGGAGCGCCUACCGCAUGGUGGGUGUUGGAAAGAUUUAUCGGUUUUGGAUGGACUCGCGGCCUAUCAGCUUGUUGGUGAGGUAAUGGCUCACCAAGGCGACGACGGGUAGCCGGCCUGAGAGGGUGACCGGCCACACUGGGACUGAGACACGGCCCAGACUCCUACGGGAGGCAGCAGUGGGGAAUAUUGCACAAUGGGCGCAAGCCUGAUGCAGCGACGCCGCGUGAGGGAUGACGGCCUUCGGGUUGUAAACCUCUUUCAGUAGGGAAGAAGCGAAAGUGACGGUACCUGCAGAAGAAGCACCGGCUAACUACGUGCCAGCAGCCGCGGUAAUACGUAGGGUGCGAGCGUUAUCCGGAAUUAUUGGGCGUAAAGAGCUCGUAGGCGGUUUGUCGCGUCUGUCGUGAAAGUCCGGGGCUUAACCCCGGAUCUGCGGUGGGUACGGGCAGACUAGAGUGCAGUAGGGGAGACUGGAAUUCCUGG
rnacentral:rRNA from 1 species